rnacentral:rRNA from 1 species
AUUGAACGCUGGCGGCAGGCUUAACACAUGCAAGUCGAGCGAGCGGCGGACGGGUGAGUAAUGUCUGGGAACCUGCCUGAUGGAGGGGGAUAACUACUGGAAACGGUAGCUAAUACCGCAUACCAUCAGAUGUGCCCAGAUGGGAUUAGCUAGUAGGUGGGGUAUUGGCUCACCUAGGCGACGAUCCCUAGCUGGUCUGCGAGGAUGACCAGCCACACUGGAACUGAGACACGGUCCAGACGCCUACGGGAGGCAGCAGUGGGGAAUAUUGCACAAGGGGCGAAAGCCUGAUGGAGCCAUGCCGCGUGAGUGAAGAAGGUCUUCGGGUUGUAAAGCACUUUCAGCGGGGAAGCGUUACUCGCAGAAGAAGCACCGGCUAACUCCGUGCCAGCAGCCGCGGUAAUAC